rnacentral:lncRNA from 1 species
CUCUUGUUUUGCAGAUGAAAACAGCAGAACUUCGCACCGCAGGAAAUGACAAUCUUGAGCCCAGGGAGCAGAACAUACGGAUAUGCUACUUUGUAUAUUAACCAAAGAAUGUGUGAAGGGGAAAGAUUAUCUUGGAUUACCUGUGUGACAGACUGGAGAUGUGAUAGUAUAAGCAGAGGUUAGAGUGAUACUUCUUGAAGAAAGUGAAGAAGCGACAAGGAUUGCAUGAAGCUUCUGAAACCUAGAGCCUUCUGCCCCUGGAAAAUGAUAACAACAACAGAAAGAACUGAUGGGGUAAAGGAGGCUGAAGGAGGAUAAGCCAUUGCCUUGAUCUCAUGGUGAUUACUAGAAAGGAAACAGUUUACCUUAAAAGAUGUGGUAUGUUCUACACUCAAUGGGAGGUAAACGAAAACUGUCUCAGAAUUCAAACUCUACAGAACACAGAUGUUCCAAAAGACAGACUGGGGGCGCCGCAUCACGGAGAAUGAGACUGUCAGCUGCAAGCACAGAAUUCCUGAUGAAGACCAGGUUGGUGUAAUCAAAACUGACUCUUUCCCAACUAUCGGGGGAAGUGAUGAAGAGUGAGUGGCAAAGGAGACAGGUCUACUUGGGAAGACACGCGAGAAUGUUUCCAAUAGCAGGAGAAAUUCACAAUUCUGCAAAGAGCUGAACCAUGAAACAUAAAGAGAAGAAAAAACACCUGGAAAAGAAAUUCAAAAAACCACCUGUGAAAAAGUCAAGGGGUACAAGAGGAAAGUUGGAUUUACAAGAUAUUCUGCAGUGUACAGCCAAGGUACUGGCCAGAACUCAAGGACACAAAGUGGUGGAUAGUUCUUCCUCAGCCUCAGAGGACCUCUCCUAUGAAGACAAAUUCUUGAAUACAGAUGAGUUCAUUCUCAAAGGUCUGAGGUGGAACAAAGAACUGCACAACUCUCCAGAGGAUGCCACCAAGACACAUGAGAUGGACCCAAGUUCAAAUCAGGAUGCAGGAGAGAAUUUCUCAGCAUCAGAACAUCUGACCUGCAUCUCUUCUUCAAACAAGUGUGUUCCCAUGGACCAGGAUGGUGUUUCUGCAUCUUCUGUGAUUUCGGUGACAAACAGCAGAGGAAUGAGACCACCCAAGCCAGCAAGAGGAAGACAAUGA